rnacentral:rRNA from 1 species
UACGAAGGGGGCUAGCGUUGCUCGGAAUCACUGGGCUUAAAGGGCGCGUAGGCGGUCUGGCCAGUCCGGGGUGAAAGCCUCCAGCUCAACUGGAGAAGUGCCUUGGAUACUGCUGGACUCGAGUGAGGUAGGGGUCGUGGGAACUUCCGGUGGAGCGGUGGAAUGCGCAGAUAUCAGGAGGAACACCGGUGGCGAAGGCGGGUCUCUGGGCCAUUACUGACGCUGAGGAGCGAAAGCGUGGGGAGCGAACAGG